rnacentral:rRNA from 1 species
CGGCCCAGACUCCUACGGGAGGCAGCAGUGGGGAAUUUUGGACAAUGGGCGCAAGCCUGAUCCAGCCAUGCCGCGUGCGGGAAGAAGGCCUUCGGGUUGUAAACCGCUUUUGUCAGGGAAGAAAAGGUUCUGGCUAAUACCUGGGACUCAUGACGGUACCUGAAGAAUAAGCACCGGCUAACUACGUGCCAGCAGCCGCGGUAAUACGUAGGGUGCAAGCGUUGUCCGGAAUUAUUGGGCGUAAAGAGCUCGUAGGCGGUUUGUCGCGUCUGUCGUGAAAGUCCGGGGCUUAACCCCGGAUCUGCGGUGGGUACGGGCAGACUAGAGUGCAGUAGGGGAGACUGGAAUUCCUGGUGUAGCGGUGGAAUGCGCAGAUAUCAGGAGGAACACCGAUGGCGAAGGCAGGUCUCUGGGCUGUAACUGACGCUGAGGAGCGAAAGCAUGGGGAGCGAACAGGAUUAGAUACCCUGGUAGUCCACGCCGUAAAC